AGGUGCGGCCCUCAGUUCCCAACCUCGGGGCACCGGCGGCGACAGUGGACAGGCCCCCGGGCUGAGAUUCUACCUUGACGAUCUGAAUAUCACUGUCCUCCAUAUCCAUGCUGUCUUCAGAUGGAUGAAUACAAGGGCCUGCGUGCACCGUUCUACAAUGUGGCUCAUCUGAAGAAAACUUGCAGCAGUCAAGUAGUUUACCAGUUCCAUCUCAGGGAAUUCCAGAACACCACUAUAACAGGAUAAGAGCAAUUGUUUCCCGACUUCAGAACUCUGGAGUAUGGAGAUUUUCACCUCUCUGGAAUCAUUCAGUAAAAACUGGUCU